CCUACGGGUGGCAGCAGUGGGGAAUAUUGCACAAUGGGGGAAACCCUGAUGCAGCAACGCCGCGUGAGUGAAGAAGUAUUUAGGUAUGUUAAGCUCUAUCAGCAGGGAAGUAGAAAGACGGUACCUGACUACGAAGCACCGGCUAACUACGUGCCAGCCGCCGCGGUAAUACGUAGGGGGCAAGCGUUAUCCGGAUUUACUGGGUGUAAAGGGAGCGUUGACGGCUGUGCAAGUCUGAAGUGAAAGCCCGUGGCUCAACCGCGAAACUGCUUUGGAAACUGUAUAGCGUGAGUACUGGAGAGGCAGGCGGAAUUCCUAGUGUAGCGGUGAAAUGCAUAGAUAUUAGGCAGAACACCAGUGGCGAAGGCGGCCUGCUGGACAGAAACUGACGUUGAGGCUCGAAAGCGUGGGGAGCAAACAGGAUUAGAUACCCGGGUAGUC
rnacentral:rRNA from 1 species